GUUAUAUUGGGGUCCAUAUUUACCCACCAAUUUCAAGAAUUAGAAGGAAGAAGAAAAAAGAUUGGGACUUUUAUUAAAUUUGUUUGGUGGAAGAUUAGAGGGACAGGCUGGCAAAAAUAGAAAUUGGUUUUAGCAGUACACAUUUUGUACAUAAGUAUUUAUUUUAUUAUAUAAUGUUUUAAAGUAGGGUCUUACUGUUUGAC
rnacentral:misc_RNA from 1 species